AACGAACGCUGGCGGCAUGCCUAACACAUGCAAGUCGAACGAGACCUUCGGGUCUAGUGGCGCACGGGUGCGUAACGCGUGGGAACCUGCCCUUAGGUUCGGAAUAACUCCCCGAAAGGGGUGCUAAUACCGGAUAAUGUCUUCGGACCAAAGAUUUAUCGCCUUUGGAUGGGCCCGCGUUGGAUUAGCUAGUUGGUAGGGUAAAAGCCUACCAAGGCGACGAUCCAUAGCUGGUCUGAGAGGAUGAUCAGCCACACUGGGACUGAGACACGGCCCAGACUCCUACGGGAGGCAGCAGUGGGGAAUAUUGGACCAUGGGCGAAAGCCUGAUCCAGCAAUGCCGCGUGAGUGAUGAAGGCCUUAGGGUUGUAAAGCUCUUUUAACCGGGAUGAUAAUGACAGUACCGGGAGAAUAAGCUCCGGCUAACUCCGUG
rnacentral:rRNA from 1 species